rnacentral:lncRNA from 13 species
GUUUUAUCUGACAGUAAAUCAUAUGAAAUAACAGGAGAGCUUUUAAGCUACAUAAAUCAAUCACCAAACACACCAGCCUGUCACUGCCUAUGAAGCCCCGCAAUCUAUAACCAAUGCUGUCUAUGAUCCUCAUAACCCAUAUCGUAUGAAAAAUAUCAGGCAGCGAAUUCUUAAGAGAGGCUAAGGAUGAUUUAUGGCAUUUGAAUGGAAACAUACAUAACACUUUCUUUGUUGUUAAACAAGACAGGGGCAUUUUCAAGAUGGACAACUCUCAGAGACCAGGCUGUCUCCCAAAUUUGUGAUCAACUGGCUAACCUAAUCAUGGCUGUGUUUGAUUAUUUUGUGAUGUUUUGUUAGAAACCCUGUCUCUGUCUCCAGCCAUCCUUCAAACACCCUGAGGAGAGGAGAGCCCAGAUGUGCUGCUUGAGCCCUGGCCCACAGAGACUUCUGAUUACAGCCUAAUCUGUCUGGGGAUCAACUGCCUCCACAGCCUCGGGACCAACCACCAGUGUGUGUACUGAAAAGGUACCAUUUUAUGACACCUCACACUGGAUCACAAGGUCAACCACAGCAGCCAAUAUAGAGAAUGGAUACAGUAAUGUGGCAAGAAUGUUGAGGUUCAAUCAUAAAGAACAUGCAGCGUGUUAUCCUGCCGUAUUAUUCUUCAGCUCAGACAAUUACAAAACAACAGUCUAUCUCAAAAGGUGGACUCCAGUCGAUCAUGGCGUGUGCUCAGCACUGUGAUGUUUGAAUGCCAUGCCAGCAAGGUUAUCAUACACUCAGUGGCUAGUUUAUUAGAUACACCACCCCGUUCACGAAAAUAGUUCGCUCCUACAGACAGCGAGUCACGUGGCCUUGGCUUGCUAUAUAAAGCAGGCAGACAGGUUAUCUAAGCGACUUUAAACAUGGUAUGAUCUUCUAGGGUUUACCGAGAAUGGUGUGACCAACCAAAAUCAUCCAGCCAGCGCCAGUCCUGUGGGCGAAACAACUUGUUGACGAGAGGUCGAAGGAGAAUGGCAAGAAUCAGGC